rnacentral:lncRNA from 1 species
UUCAGUAUUGUGUAGUACAGAAAAGAUCACACAUGUAUAUGUCAGAAGUAGAUGCACAUGUUCUUUUGGCUUUUUUUCUUUGUUUUAUUCUUUUUUCAUUUUUUGUGUUUUUUGUUAGUUUGUUUUGAAUUUUUUUUCUUGAUGCAUAUGUUCCUUCAACUUAUUCAGUACUUCCAUGUGCAGGGCUCUGGACUAGACUUUCAGGAUCUAAGGCUGAAUCCUACACAGUCCUCCCUCUGGGAAAGUGAUGAAACCUGUGAGCUCUCCUAGCAACUCUGCAGUCUUCCUUCAAGUUGGUCAGAUUGGUCCGUGUGGAACUCAGAAACAGAAGGCCAACCAUGCAUAACGAGGCAGAACUUUUGGAGAUCCUUGGUGACCUCACUGUUGCUGAAUAAACUUUAGCCCCUCACCUGGUGAUAACACCAAUACCACCUGGUUUUCUUCCAGGGCCUGUGCUUCCUUCAGAGACUCACACAAGAGGUUUAUCAUGAGAAGGACCGCACUAUUUCAUUUCACUCCUACAAGUUUUCAUUUACGUUACACAUUGAGAAAG